UACGGAGGGCGCAAGCGUUGUUCGGACUCACGGGGCGUAAAGCGCGUGUAGGCGGUUCGGCAAGUCGGCUGUGAAAGCCCGAGGCUCAACCUCGGAACUGCAGCCGAAACUGCCGGGCUCGAGUCCCGGAGAGGGUGGCGGAAUUUCCGGUGUAGAGGUGAAAUUCGUAGAUAUCGGAAGGAACACCAGAGGCGAAGGCGGCCACCUUGACGGUGACUGACGCUGAGACGCGAAAGCGUGGGGAGCAAACAGG
rnacentral:rRNA from 1 species